UACGUAGGUGGCAAGCGUUGUCCGGAGUUACUGGGCGUAAAGCGCACGCAGGCGGUCUGCUAAGUUUGGAGUGACAGUUGGUGGCUUAACUGCCAAAGUGCUUCGAAAACUGACAGACUUGAGGGCUUCAGAGGGACACGGAAUUCCGGGUGGAGUGGUGAAAUGCGGUAGAGAUCCGGAGGAACACCAAAGGCGAAGGCAGUGUCCUGGGGAGUACCUGACGCUCAGGUGCGAAAGCCAGGGGAGCGAACGGGAUUAGAGUACCCCGAGU
rnacentral:rRNA from 1 species